rnacentral:rRNA from 1 species
AUGUAAAUGCCUACAACAUAGAAUUAAUGCAGUGGAUCCCAUUAGAACUCCACAGUUAAUCGCGCUCAGGAUAGAGUAGUAUCGGGAUGGUGACUAGAUGGGAAGUCCUAUAUUUUUACAUG